GUGUCUACUUGGUUCAAACAUUGUCCUAAACCCACAAAGUGAUGCAAAGAUGAAUGAGGCACACUCUACAUUCAGGGAGCCAAGCCUGAACAAAAUAUGACAUAUAUACAAAUAAAUACAAAUAAUUCAAUUCCAUUGAAUUCAACAAGCAUUUAUUAACCAUAUACACUAUGCAAGUCCUAGUGUCUAGCACUGAUGAUACAGAAACAUGAAGGAAACAAUCCUUGCUAGUGUAACUGUAUCAGUAAAGACUGGGUUUAUCCAGGCACCAGACCGCUCCCACCACUGUCAAAUAUCAGAGUGCUUGCUUUGGCUGGCCUUACCCACAGAUGAAAUAUGCAACCACCUACAAUGUUUUGAUUUCAAGGACCUGAAGAAGACCCUGAUAUUCUUCAGAUCCCUGUUCCUGUUCCCUCCCAACUCCAAGUUCAAUGAUGUCUGAUCCCACAUUUAGAGAGAUUUGCUCUUAAUUUAAAGGCCCCUGAUUCCUUGUUAAAAUGUAAAUCUCCCUGCAAGGGAGAUUUAAUAUUAUAAGCUAUUUCCAAUUCUCUGUGAAUGAAUUUAUCAGAUUUUUUCUUGAGUGAUAUCUUGAUUGGGGAAAAGUGGAGAGGCCAUGAAGAAUGGGAAUAGGAGAUACCAAUACAAGUUAAAAAGGGUUUUAAAAAAAAAGGUUUCAGAAAAAAGCAAAGAGCUGGGGGGCAUCAGAAGAGUAUUGCACAGUUUAUGUAAUUG
rnacentral:lncRNA from 1 species